CUCCACGUCCAAGGGAAAUUAAACAAGUCGAAAAAUUUCGUUCUAUGGCAACAAAUCACACGUUGAAACAUACGCUGUAGCAAAAAUCCAAUUUAAAACAUUUGCUUUUGCUCAGAUCAAAUUUGAAACAUACCACGUAGUAUAUAUCAAACUUGAAACAUACUAUGUGGCAUAUAUCUAAUCUAUACUUGUUGUUCUUGUGAGAAAUAUUAUUAUCAUUCUGACAGUAGCGAGGCUUACAGAAAUACAACGUAACAUAGACUGCCUUGUUCAUAAUCUAGGCAUCUCGAAACCUGGUAUCCUUUUACACAGUAGCAGAAUGUCGUAGGCAUUACAUUUCGGAUGUCCUUUAUACCAACCUAUAGGUUCCGGAUCACUAUAUGUCAUUAGAUAGGCUUUUUUUUUAUUUUUUUAUAUUUACCAUCUACUGUUCUCUCGUUCUUUCAACAUAUCACCGUCUUGUCACUUAAUGGAACGGGUGUUAGACCUAAUCACAUACAAUAUUGUUUUUUUU